rnacentral:lncRNA from 1 species
GGGGGUGGGGGGGAUGGCGAGGAGGUUCCGCGCCGCCAUGGCCCUGAUGUUGUUUCAGGCGCUGCCCGAGGGGCUGCCCGCCAGCGUGGAGCCCGCCCAGAACAUAAAUUGAGCAGGAUGCCUUCAGAUUUGAUGGUCUGCUUAGGAGGCAGGAACUGCGUUUUGCAUUUGUUGAAGAUCUGAACCUCCACAAGAUUACGUGAAGGACUUUAAUGAAGGUCUGAGUCUUCACGGAUACUGAUCCGUGCCUGCAGAUGGCAGGUGUUGUGGUCACACGUUGUGUAGUUUCACUGGGACAAUGGUGUGGAGUGUCCUUUCUGGGAAAGGCGUCCAUUGGAAAACUGUCUGACUUCUGAAGCAAGUAGAGAGGUGAGGAGUUUGACUACAGAUGUUUUAAAUCUCCUUCUUUCAGGGCGCUGAGAGUACCAGAAGGACUUUAAAGGCUUUGUAAUUAGAAUCGCAGAAUCAUUAAGGUUGGAAAUGACCUCUAAGAUCAUCUAGUCCAACCAUCAAAUUGGUAGUGCCCUCCCAAAUUUUCUUGCUGUGGUUUGGCCUUUGCUGCAGUAGGGAGCUGCAAGGUUGGGCUGAACCAUGUGUGUUCCAUGUUGUCUCAACUGCCUCAGACUGGUGGAAGUGCUUGCUCUGCUCCACCACCAAGCCAACGUACACAAACUGAGUGUAUAUAGGCACAAGGUGCUGUGGUGUUCCAUCUAUGAGCAGCAGCCAGGUGCUAGGACCGUCUAGACAAAAGCUGCAAAAGUCUUCAGCCCUAUAAGUGCUAAUAAAAACACUAUACCUGCUUUGAAGGUUGUGAAAGACACUCCCUGUACAGCCUGUGGAUUAGCCAAGGAACAGGUAGAGGAAAGGAAUGGGAAGUAGAAAAGGAGGAAGGGAAAAAGAAGAAGAGCGUAGAAGAAUUCCUACACAGACCUGCUUGUGGAAUAGUUGUGUGCCUGACUUGUAGAUAUCCUCUCCAAUCAGUGCACCAGAAAUAGUCCUAAAAUAGUAAGACUUGGGUGGUACAGUACGUGAUGGUGGGAGAGAAGAGCUUUGGCUGCCUGUGUUUUCUUUAGAGUUCUUAGAUGUGGAUGCGUCUCUUACUCGUUUUCUUUUCAUAGUUUGUCUAUAUAAAACUCAUGUGGUUUAUUUUAGAUCUUAGACUGUCUGUCAAAGAGCUGGUAUUAUCUCACAGCAUACUACAGAUUGACAGCAACCCACUCAAAAACUGUCGUUUUUGAGUAAUGUGGGAUAUAUAUAUAUAUAUAUGUAUAUAUAUAUAUUUGAAUAAUGUGUGAUCUGGG